AUUGAACGCUGGCGGCAGGCCUAACACAUGCAAGUCGAGCGGAUGAAGGGAGCUUGCUCCUGGAUUCAGCGGCGGACGGGUGAGUAAUGCCUAGGAAUCUGCCUGGUAGUGGGGGAUAACGUCCGGAAACGGGCGCUAAUACCGCAUACGUCCUGAGGGAGAAAGUGGGGGAUCUUCGGACCUCACGCUAUCAGAUGAGCCUAGGUCGGAUUAGCUAGUUGGUGGGGUAAAGGCCUACCAAGGCGACGAUCCGUAACUGGUCUGAGAGGAUGAUCAGUCACACGGGAACUGAGACACGGGCCAGACUCCUACGGGAGGCAGCAGUGGGGAAUAUUGGACAAUGGGCGAAAGCCUGAUCCAGCCAUGCCGCGUGUGUGAAGAAGGUCUUCGGAUUGUAAAGCACUUUAAGUUGGGAGGAAGGGCAGUAAGUUAAUACCUUGCUGUUUGGACGUUACCAACAGAAUAAGCACCGGCUAACUUCGU
rnacentral:rRNA from 1 species